rnacentral:rRNA from 1 species
GACGAACGCUGGCGGCGUGCCUAACACAUGCAAGUGGAGCGACGAACCAGACUUCGGUCUGGGGCCAAGCCGCGAACGGGUGAGUAACACGUGGGUAACCUGCCCCGAUGAUCGGGACAACCCGGGGAAACCCGGGCUAAUACCGAAUGUGGUCCCGGCUCAUGAGAGCCGUGACGAAAGGAAGCUUCGGCCUCCGCAUCGGGAGGGGCCUGCGGCCCAUUAGGUAGUUGGUGAGGUAACGGCUUACCAAGGCUUCGAUGGGUAGCUGGUCUGAGAGGACGAUCAGCCACACUGGGACUGAGACACGGCCCAGACUCCUACGGGAGGCAGCAGUGGGGGAUCUUGCGCAAUGCGCGAAAGCGUGACGCAGCAACGCCGCGUGCGGGAAUACGGCCUUCGGGUUGUAAACCGCUUUCAGUUGGGACGAAGCUUCGCCGGUGAACAGCCGGCUGGAGUGACGGUACCUUCACAAGAAGCACCGGCUAACUACGUGCCAGCCGCCGCGGUAAGAC